ACCAUAGUCACGCAACCCACUCGACGAUCUAGAAAGUCUCUAUCAGCCAGUUAACAUAAACACGAAACCAAAGACCACUCGCGAUUCCUAAGAACCAACCUGAAGGACUACACACACAGUACGAGUGAGAACGUUAGGAACUUCGGAAUGGCGAUCACGCCAGUGAUGAUCUUGCCAUAGAAGUACACUAUGUUCUGAGUACUGAAAAGCUCUACCAUUCCGAGAGCUUAGGACCAUAUGAGAAUUCUCAUGGAGACUUGGUCCAACCCUUUUCAGGCCGCUACUACCUUCGGAUGUACCACAAGAUUCACACCCGAUCGAUCCACUUNUGUACCACAAUUCACACCCGAUCGAUCCACUUCUUAGACUUGAUAGGUGAUUUCCCGACAACACUCUUCGUACCUCACUCAUUUCGAUAGAAACCAUUGAGAACCCUAACCUUGUAGAUACACCAGUUGGAACCCACUAGCUACACGAGACGGAAUCCGCAUCCCGUACGUAAGGGUCUGUUGGAAUGACAAACACAGACCAGAGAUCACUUGGGAAUGUGAGGACAACCGUAUAGCAAGUACUCUCAUACCUCUACUUGGCCAUUCAUACCUACUUCCUUGCCUAGACCUGAAUUUCGAGACAAAAUUCCCUCUAACGGGGGGAUGAUGUGACAACCCAAGUUGUUCCGUUACAUUUCCCCGUUACCUUAACGGAAUAUUCCAGUUUAUAAAAGUUCCGUUAAUUAGAGGUCGUCAAUUUAAUAAACAUUCCAUUUGUUUACAAUUAAUAUUCCGUUAAGUCGUGAUAAAGGGAAAUAAAAACACAUGACACACAUUUCCAUUUAAUUGGAAAAAGUUAGUUUUUAUUAUUACGACCACUAAAUCGGGCGCGACCAAAAGCCCCGUUUAACGGCAGUACUGGAUAGAAUUUCACUGAGCUCCAACUCCCACCCAUAUUUAAAGGGGAGUAAACUCCAUUUGAGCUCUUUCCACCCACUCUCUCUCUAUAUAUAUACUCUCUCUCUAGACUCGUUUUCGCCCCGAAUCCGCAACCAAACGCUUCCAAAUCGUAAGUCCGCUUACCCUAGCUUAUUCUAAACAUUAUGAUUUGUGUUUAUAGCCCAAAAAUUGGACUUAGAAGCUAGGGAAGAGGAGUUUACGUCCUAAGCUCCUCCUUAGGCCGUAAACAACUUAAAUGAGGCCAAAUUGACCCCAAAAUGUCCCUAAAUGCUUGGAAACUAAUAGAGGAAUUAGCCUAGGAGUGUUUGCACAUUUAAAACAAUCAAAUUUGGGCAUAAAAGAGAGUUUACGGCCCAAGCACAUGCUUNUACCGAGAAUCACAGGAUAACCUUCACAACCAAGAAUACUUAAUCAAAGUGCGGAAGUAGUUGCGUUAAACCUCAUGACCCCGAUCCCGAAGAGGUUAUAGACUUGACACCAGCCCUGGUGUUAGUCGAAAGGUUAUGCAGGAACAUAAGCUUUCCGCACUAGAAUAAACCAAAGUCUUAGAGGUUAAUUGGACUAUUAGGUGUUCCACGGAUACCAUCUCACGCAGAAAUAGUAGAACCACCUCCAGAGAUAGUCCGACACUCGUCUGGUGAAACCCUAUCUUCCCGACCUCCAGGGUUUCCGCAUCCCAAGCUUCGUUAGUGAAGAUUUGUUUUGCACACGCUUGAGAUAGACACUCUACAACAAACCGAUAACCAUAGUCACGCAACCCACUCGACGAUCUAGAAAGUCUCUAUCAGCCAGUUAACAGAAACACGAAACCAAAUACCACUCGCGAUUCCUAAGAACCAACCUGAAGGACUACACACACAGUACGAGUGAGAACGUUAGGAACUUCGGAAUGGCGAUCACGCCAGUGAUGAUCUUGCCAUAGAAGUACACUAUGUUCUGAGUACUGAAAAGCUCUACCAUUCCGAGAGAUUAGGACCAUAUGAGAAUUCUCAUGGAGACUUGGUCCAACCCUUUUCAGGCCGCUACUACCUUCGGAUGUACCACAAGAUUCACACCCGGUCGAUCCACUUCUUAGACUUGAUAUGCGAUUACCCGACAUCACUCUUCGUGCCUCACUCAUCUUGAUAGAAAACAUUGAGAACCCUAACCUCGUAGAUACACCAGUCGGAACCCA
rnacentral:lncRNA from 1 species